rnacentral:tRNA from 1 species
GUACAUAACUCAGUGGCAGAGCAUCUGCAUUGCAUACAGAAGGUCCCAGGGUCAAUCCCUGGCAUCUCCA